CAAAGAUUUUAUGCAGUUAUUCUCGGAUUUUAUGGUGUAAUUAAAAGGUGAUCUAUGUGGUUCCUGUUUUAUACUAAGAAGUACUUAUAAAAACUAUUGUUGGCUGGAAACCUGUAAUAAAUUGUCCUAGUUCUUUUUGUGAUAAAUGAAUUGUAGUGGUAUCAUCCUGAAAGAAUAAUCUAGCCCAGAAGAAGUUGGAUAAAAAUAUAAAUUACAUUAUGUCUUGUUAUUGUAAUUAAA